ensembl:lncRNA
AGUCCACAGGACAUCGACCACAUGUACAGUAAGAGGCCUUACAGCUUUCCACCCAGAGAGCAUGUUAAUGACUAUAAUGACAGCAUGGACUAACAUGAUGUGGUCACCACAACCAGAGACGUUGGGAUCCUGAGUGAAGACGCAUCUUUCGACAGGCUUGUGGUGAGGACAUGCAAAGGAUCAACAAACAACAAAUCUUAUUUGAUAUACUUAACCAGAAUAAUUACGUUUAACAUCUGAAUGCUGUUUGAUCAAAUUUUAGGAAAGGGCUCAGCAAGCUGAACACCAUAGAAAAGUCACUAGUGACCUUCAUGUAAUGUUCAUCACUCAGGAUAACGGUCUACUGCAACAUCUUGAAGCGGUCAUCGCAUGAAAAGUUACAUCCUCAUGGGCAACAUCAAAGGGCAGGGUGAUCAUUUUCUUUGAGGAGGAUGAGCAGCUGGACAGAGUGCUGGGCUUCUUGACAAGCCUGGUUAAAGCACAGACAACCAGGUGUCACAAUCACGUGGCAUUUGUUAUGGAUGUGCUUCUGCCAGAGGCAACAGUCCACGCCCUUUCAGCUGUCCAUGCAUUUUCCAUUGACAGAGCGACAGAAGUUUAUAAAUGUGGACUGCAGUAUGACUUGAGUGGAAAACGGCUGUUGGCUCAUUACAUGACAAACAACAUGGCUCUACAGCAACUAGAAAAAUAUGCUGAAAAACUCAGAAGAGCUCUGGACUCUGAGGAGUUUUUGAAGACGCUUUAGUAUGUAUGUAGGAUGAAUUAAAAAAUAGUCUGUGAAAUGAUAAUGUUUUAUUUUAUUGCCAAUAAAAGUUGUUGCUGGCUAAUUCAUUUGUCUCAACUUUUGUGUUUUGAGGUACAUAUUUUAAAGAGCUGUGUAUGGUCAUAUUUAUAAAUACAUAAAUACAUUUUAUUUGUGUCAAAGGGCGAGCAAUCUUUUCUGUUAACCCAUAAGAAAUCAUCACCUUAGAGUGAUAAUUAUGGCAUCUGAUGUAGUAGGCCAAGCUCUGUGACAGUGUGGCUCUUAGAAAAACAGCUGGUGGAAACAACCUAUUUUAAUUGAAAUGACUACUACUAAUUAUUAUUAUUAUUGUAAAAUAUUUUAUUUUAUUUAGUUUAAAAUAACCUUGUGCACAUACAUUAGUCACUUAUAUAAAAAAUGAAAAGAUGCAUGCAACAGAUUUAGCAGUCCUAUAUAAUCUUUUAUCCCAAUCUUUUAUUUUUUUUAUUACUUAACUUUCUAUUUUUGUAUAUAUUUAUUGUUUCAAGCACAUUGUUUGCAUUGAAAAGCAUUUAAUGUUGUGAAUCAACCGUUAAAGUUGUUAAAAAUGAUCUGGUUAUUGCUUCGUUUCCUUUGUGUUUGCUUUCUAAGUGCUCUGGGCCUCCACAGCCACCGUAGUGUUGUAUGGGCGUGUUUUGUAAUGGGCGUGGUUUUUAGCGGCUCUGGCUUAGCUGCGGCUGCAGCUAGACCCUUCUCCGGACUUUGCUAACAAGCUAGCGACGAGCAAACUUGAUGCGUAGAGCAGGUGUGGAGCUGUGAGACCGAAGACAGACACAGAGACCCAGACGGAGCCGGACAGCGUUGCCGAGUGGUGGACUUUGUCGAUAUCGUCAGCGGUGGGAGUCUUCUCUUCAUCGCUCCUCCUGCUUCUGGCUGCCUGGAUCCUGAGCGCGGGAGGCUAACGCAAUUUAGUGACGGUACCAGUGUUUGUUUUUUUGCCUUCGUGGUGAAGCAGCCAUUUCCUUUAAGGCUACAACGUACAAGAGAUACCUUCAGGCCUGCAACGUUGAACUGGGUAUUUUCAUUUAAACUAUUUUAUUUUCUUUGGGCCCAUGUGUUUUGAAUGUGUCUGUGAAUGCACUAUUGUGAGUUGUCAAGCAUUUGAUAAGAGCAUUGAAACAAAUAUUUAACCAGUGAGUUCAUAUUUUUUCAAAGUAAAUAACUCAUACUUUUUCAUAAAACAGGUGUGGUUAUUUAAUACUUUUGAUAUUUUAAGUUAAGACAGAGUGAUAUGUGUUUGUGAUAGACCAGUGAUGUUGAUAGGUUUUCAAUGUAGUGAGUCCCCGGGACCCACAGGUGGUGAGUUGAGUGGGUCCCUGGGAAAUCCAAUGGGUCCCGACUCCCCAGUUAAAAAAAUGUAUUUCUUUCUUAUGUUAUUCUAUUUCUUAAAUUUUAUUGAGUGUUAAACUCCUUUGAAGGUGGUAUGAUAUGGUUAUAAUAAACGGAUAUAUUCAUGUAUGUUCAAAAUGUAUCUGAAAUUAAACAAAUAAAAUUCCAAAUCAUUUUUUGUAGCAACAUAGGCUAAAUAGCACCAAAAAAAAUUACUAAAAUUCAAAUAGUCUGCUGACCUGCAAUAGGUUUUAUCUUUUUCUUUGGUGGCAUUUUUGCGUUCUCCUUUUCCUGCUUACUCGAGAAAAAACGGGAUCUCGUUGGAAGCGCCAUGUAUGCGCAGACGCCGUUUGGGCAUAACAAAAUGGCGGCUGCCAUUCAAUGUAGUUUUCAUCACCACCACCGGGUUUUGUUUUAUUUUAUUUAUUGAAAUUGGAAAAAUUCUUCUUCUUAUUAGGGCCCGAGCAGGUCAUCGACCUGUGAGGUCCCUAUUGAAAUUGUAAAAAUUAUUAGGGCCCGAGCAGGUCAUCGACCUGUGAGGUCCCUAUUGAAAUUGGAAGAAUUAUUCUUCUUAUUAGGGCCCGAGCAGGUAGACCUUCGAGGUCCCUAUUGUAAUUGGAAGGAAAUACAUUUUCUUCUCC